rnacentral:rRNA from 1 species
CAGUCGCCGCGGGAAUACGUAGGGUGCAAGCGUUAAUCGGAAUUACUGGGCGUAAAGCGUGCGCAGGCGGUUAUAUAAGUCAGAUGUGAAAUCCCCGGGCUCAACCUGGGACCUGCAUUUGUGACUGUAUAGCUAGAGUACGGUAGAGGGGGAUGGAAUUCCGCGUGUAGCAGUGAAAUGCGUAGAUAUGCGGAGGAACACCGAUGGCGAAGGCAAUCCCCUGGACCUGUACUGACGCUCAUGCACGAAAGCGUGGGGGGCAAACAGGAUUAGAUACCCGAGUAGUCCCUGUCUCUUAUAC